rnacentral:lncRNA from 1 species
UUUUUUUUUUUUUUUUUAGGGCCGUAACCAUGGCACAUGGAAGUUCCCAAGCUAGGGGGAUCAAAAUAGAGCUACAGCUGCUGGCCUACACCACAGCCAUGGCAAUGCUGGAUCCUUAACCCACUGAACCUUAACCUACUGAGCAGGACCAGGAGACAAACCCUGUCCUCAUGGAUACCAGUCAGGUUUGUUUCCACUGAGUCAAUAACUGAACGAUGCUUAAUGCUGCCCUUGAGCCCCUGAAGAUGUGGCCCGGGGAACACAGCUAUGCCUCCCCAAGGGAGGCCUGGAGGCUGUCCAUGAGGACAAGCCAGAGAGAAGGGUGUGCCCAAAACGCCCCGUAGGCCCAGCCACUGGCCCACGGACCAACACCCUGGUCAUCCUGCAUUUCUGAGGUAACAGCCCCGCUCAGACUAGACUACUACUUCUUUUUUCUUCCCAUCUCUAAGGUGAACACAUCAGUCCAAGAAUCCCAGAGUCAGGUUCCUAUGGGAAUCUGUCUGCACAUUCCUGCCAGGGCACCAACAAUGGUCAACUUAGGGUGGGAGAUUUAAGUGGGUUCUAUUUCUGUAUUCUCAAAAUCUUCCAAGCCAAACUGUACUGUUUGUGUGUGUGUGUGUGUGUGUGUGUUACUAUUUUUUUUUUCCAGGGCCACACCCAUGGCAUAUGUAUGUUCCCAGGUGUGGCACUAAAAACACAAAAGACAAAAAAAAAAAAAAAAAGUGAAAAGGCAGAGUUCCCUGGUGGCCUACCAGUUGGGAUCCAGCACUGUCACUGCUAUGGCUCAGGUUCAGUCCCUGGCUUGGGAACUUCCACAGGCUGUGGACACAGCCAAAAAAAUAAAUUUAUUAAUUUUUGUAAAAGAAAGAAAGUGAAAGGCAAUCAGAAUCAGAGAAAAUAUUUGCAAAACACCUGUCUGAUAAGGCUCUAGUAUCCAAAAAACACACAAAACAUAAACUCAACAGUGACACAUAAAAGUAGAUAACCAAUUAAAACACAGGCAAUGAAUUUGAACAGACAUUUCUCUAAGGAAGACAUACAAAUAGCUAGUAAGUACAUGAAAAUACGUUCAACAUCAUUAGUCACUAGCUAAAUGCAAAUCAAAAUCACAAUGAGCUACUGCUUCACACCCAUGAGGAUGGCUAAAAGCAAAAUAAUGGAAAAUAACAAGGGUUUAAGGAUAUGGGCAAAUCAGAACGUUCAUACCUUGCUGGUGGGAAUAUGAAACAAAACAAUGCAGUUUUCCACUGUGGAAAACUGAGGCAACUCCUCAAAAUGUUAAAAGGAGUUACUAUAUGACCCAGCACUCCUAGGUACAUACCCCCCAAAAAUGAAAACAUGACACAAAAACUCAUACACAAAUAUUCAUAGCAGCAUUAUUCAUAAUAGCCAAAAAGUGGAAACAGCCCAAUGUCCACGACAUGAUAAAUGAAUAAACAAGAUGUGGUAGAUCCUCUAAUGCACUAUUACUCAGCCACGGAAAAGAAUGAAGCCCUGACACAUGCUGCAGUGUGGGUGAACCUUGAAAACAUUAUGCCAAAUGAAGAAAAGCCAGACACAGACACAUAUGAUUCCAUUUAUAUUAAAUGUCCAGAAUUGGAGAAAGUAGGUUAGCGGUUUCUGGGGUGGGGAGAGAAGGGAAGGCAGAGUGAGUACUUAAUAGGUAUGGGGUUUCUUGUAGGGGUGAAAAAGGUCUGGAAUUACACAGUGGUGAUGAUUACAAAACCUUGUGAAUAUGGCAAAAACUACUAAAUGAUACACUGUAAAAAGGUGAAUUUUAUGGUGAAUAUCUUAGUUUUUAAAAAAUUCCAAUCACAUACAAUCUGAUGCUACUUAAAAGGAGAUCCACAUAAAACAGAUGCUAAAACCAUUUCACGAUCCUCAUCCAGAGAAUAUGCAUCCUUGCAAAGGGAAGAGAAACUCAGAGAUCCCCCUCCCACAGGGACACAGAGGCAGAGACGCCCCCCCCCCAUAGGGACACAGAGGCAGAGACGCCCCCCCCCAUAGGGACACAGAGGCAGAGAACAGGUGCCCCCUUCCCCCAGGGACACAGAGAUUCCCUCCCUGCCACAGGGAGAAAGAGGCAGAGGACAGGUCCUCCCCCUCCCACAGGGACACAGAAGCAGAGAACAGGUGCCUCCUCCCCCAAGGGACACAGAACUGGAAAAGUGAGAAAGUAGGUUAGUGGUUUCUGGGGUGGGGAGAGAAGGGAAGGCAGGGAGAAAGAGGCAGAGGACAGGUCCCCCCCCUCUCACAGGGACAUAGAGGCAGAGAACAGGUGCCCCCUCCCCCCAGGGACACAGAGAUGCCCUCCCUCCCACAGGGAGAAAGAGGCAGAGAACAGGUCUUCCCCCCAACACACAGGGACACAGAAGCAGAGAAUAGGUCCCACCUUCAUGAAGGAAAAUCAGAGGUUAUUUUUUUUUUAAAUGGCACAUUUAAGUUUCACAAAUAACAUUUAUUGACUGUAUUUACAAUGGAAUCUCACCUGCAUUCACAAAAUUACACUUCAACUACAAAUCACCUGAUGAUAAAUAAUUGGACUGACUCUUGAUGUGAAUUAUAUGAUCUGAGAAAACAGAAGCUAUCACAGACCCCUCCUGACUUGACGGCGUUUGUUAAAGACCUUGACUAUGACUGACAUUUUUGUUGAUGUUCUUGACAGAAUGUGAAGAUUCCAACUUCAAACCCCAAAAAACUGGCUAGAAGGCAAAGAGAAAGGCAAUUACUAGGAAAUGCCCCCCAGACGGAAAGCACACAGCCCUUGCAGGGCCUGUGCAGGAAACCUCCGCAAGGUGAAGGGCGAAGGAAGCCCAACAGCGGAGUGGGAUAUGCACUCAGUUCUGAGGAGCCCAGGCAGGAAACUUGGUGCAGCCUUGGCUGGCCCACGCGCCAGCUACGGGACCUGAGGGAAGGCAUCAACCCCCAGAGCACACUCUCCUUCUGGAACUCUGGGAAGAAUCCCAGCUUAGAACGACUGGGGAAGGAAUCCAAUGAAACAAAGGCUAUGGCAAGCCCACUCAGGAGGGCAAGUACCUGACCCAUCCCUGCUCUUCAGGGCUCCCUGUCAGGGAGCUUCAGAGCUCAUCCACCCUCUCGAGGCCCCUGAAGUUCUAGCAAGCCUUUGCCAGGUCAGCAAAUGGGCCAGAAGCUUCUCCUGAGAUAAGCCGGGCGCAUGUUUUGGGAGGUCUCACAGGGCACCCCACAUAUACCUCCAGAAGGUAAGAUAUUUCUCCUGAACAGCUGGUUAGCACCUGACUUCUGACCUGAGAGUCUGGCUCAUAAGCAAACACCUAGUCUACGGCCAUACCACCCUGGACACGCCCGAUCUCAUCUGAUCUGGGAAGCUAAGCAGGGUCGGGCCUAGUUAGUACUUGGAUGGGAGAAGCAAACACCUAUAAAAGCAUUAGCAAUUCUCCUUUGGCCCACCCAGACCAUCUACUCAACAAGGACCAUCCACAGUUAAGGAUCCAGCAUUGCUGUGAGCUGUGAUGUAGGCUGCCGACACAACUCAGAUCUGGUGUUGCUGUGGCUGUGGCUAGGCUGGCAGCUGUAGCUCUGAUUUGACCUUUGGCCUAGGAACUUCCUUAUGCCACGAGUGUGACCCUAAAAAGACAAAAAAAAAAAAAAAUUCUAAUUGUGCACAUUUACAUAUUGAUAUGUAUUUGCAUGUCUUCUAUUUACAUAUCUGUGUGUUUAAGUUUGCAUGUAUUUACAUACAGGUGUGAUGAAAGAAAUAGGAAGAAGCGGCUGGAGGAGGCAAUGGCUGGGGAGAUGGGUAAACUGGGGAGGAGGAGAAGAGCUUCUUCUCAGGAGACUAAAGCAAACAGCCUGGCAAGAAGAAGCCCUGCUGUGAACCUGACAGCACCCUGGAGGCUAGAGGGAUAGGUACUGAGUGAGGUUCCAGGUGAGAAACACAGGCCUGGGCAAGGCUGGUGGGUUCAAGGUGGGAGAAAGGCCUUUUCACUAUGGAGCCUUGAUGGCUGGAGCUGGGUUUGGGGAGAGGUAGAAGGUCCUUCGAGAGUACGCUCAAACCCCAGAGGGCUGGUUGGGCAAGCUGGCUUAAGAUCCACUUCCAACCCCCAACACAAGAGAAAUUUGCAGAAACUGGAACCAGAGAUCUUGUGUGGGCAGAGGUGAGGAAAUAAAGGUGGGUGACCCCAAGAUAUCUCACCUCCCUGCCAGUGGCCCUGGCCUUAGAGUACCUGGAUAGCCCCUCCCUUGCAUCUUCUGGAAGAAGAUACCUGGGUCAGGUAUGAGCAGGAGCUCAGACCACGGUAACGAUGUGACAGCAGUCCCAGCUCUCAUCCUCUGGUGAGUGGCAACCAAGUUCUCCCACACCCUUGAUACAACUAUAAACUGUGCCGGUCCCUGGGCAAAACAGCCCGGGAGUGAGAUGAGCCCAAAGCCACCACUGCUGCACCUGCACCUGCUUACCGGAUGGCCACGAUGACCCUCAGCAGGGCCUGGAGGAAGGUCAGGAGGCUGAGACUGAGGGGCAGGAGGGGGGCCAAGAGGCUUGCUGGCUGCCCUGGGGCCACCGGCUUGGGCUGGUGAAGGGCCCGAAGCUGCUGCCACUUGAGGAGACGGCCCCCUUCACCACAGAUCUGCCAGUACCCGGAGCGCAGGUCCACGGUGGCUUCUAAGCAAAGAAAGUACGUCAGGCUCCAGUGGGGUGUGGGGCCAGGGUGCUCCCGAGUCUGCACCCACGAGAGCCCUCCAGAACCCAGGACAAGGAAAGCAGGUACCCCAGCAAGGCAGGCCACAGCCCUGGAGUGAGACAGAGCCAACAUACUGCGUGUUUCUAAAGUGGCUGUGGGGCUGCAUGGCGAUUUUCUGAGUCUUUACCUUUUAGAGCUACUUCCUGAAAUGUUUAUGGAUAAAAGGAUAUGGCAGUUAGCUGGGAUCUACUCCACUUUUUCCUUUUUUAGCUGAUCAUGGUUGCAGCUGAGUAACGGGAAUAAAGCCUUCAGUGGAGUAUUGGAAAUUUCCCACAAGCUAACAAUCGCCAUGACCACAAACAGAAUUCCAACACUUCCAUCUCCUUGACACUCUUUAGCGAGACCCGCUUUGAUCACAUAUGACUCUCCUGAUAUUAUAUCUAAUUUAUUUUUACUAUGGUACUACUAUAAAAUGUACAUUCUAAUUGUACUAAUAUAAAAAUGCACUAUUAAUAUAAUGUCUAUUUUCCUUAUAAAAAAUUCUACCACAAAAUUAUAAAGAAGGAGUACCCAUUGUGGCUCAGUGGUAAUAAACCCAACUAGUAUCCAUGAGGACACAAGUUCAAUUUCUGGCCUUGCUCAGUGGGUUAAGGAUCCAGCACUGCUGUGAGCUGUGGUAUAGGUCAUAGACACAGCUCAGAUCCUUCACUGCUGCAGCUGUGGCACAGGCCAGCAGCUGCAGCUCCAAUUUGCCCCCUAGCCUGGGAACUUCCAUAUGCUGCAGGUGUGGCCCUAAUUAAAAAAAAAAAAAAAAGUUAUAAAAAAGGAAAGUACAUUUUAGCCUCCUCUUUAUUGGAAAAUACAAGAUCCGAAACACAUAUUUUCUCUUUAAAAUGGAAACCAGCUGGAUGUGAGGCCAAGGGAAAAAUAUCUUUAAAUCACUGUGUAGGAAGCUCAGCUCAAGGAGAGAGCUAUCCUGGUGGCUGCAAUGACACGUGUGCUCUCCCUCCUGUUCUGUGAACACCUUCUGACCUGAAUGGGUUUGAGGCUUGAAACCUUAUUAACACAAACCACCUGAAUUAUAAAACAAUGGCUGGAGUAAAAAUUAAUACUGGUUCUUAACAACAUAUCAAUGGGUGCACGAUUUAACAAUAAACUGAGCUUUUAGGCUUCCUUAAAGAUGCAGAGUGUUCAACGCCAAAAACAACCAAUAAAAAUAUACCCAUAAAUUGGUGAUUAUAUGGUUAGAAGAACAAUUUCUCAGGUGGUUCUCAUCCCACGGCCAUUCCACUUUUUUUUUUAAAUAAAAUGAUUUCUGGCUCUUCUACCUAAAACUCGAGGCAACAUACUGCUUUUUGUGUUGUUCACUGGGCACCCUCUCAAGAGCCUCUCUUUGUGGAGUCUCAUCUGCCCCCUUCCCAGUCCACAAGGGUUAUCUGUCAGCUCAAAACACACCACCCACCUUCAUCUACACACAAACAGAGCUCUCCUUUAUUCAAAUGACAUUAAUGGAGUCCUAUGCAUAGGCUAGAGCCACUUGUUUUGCUAUGUUGGAGUGUGUCUGGGAGUGAUUUCAUUGGCCCAAAUAACUGCGAACUCUAGGUAGCUAAUGCC